rnacentral:rRNA from 1 species
GUAGAGAGAAGCUUGCUUCUCUUGAAAAAAGCGGACGGGUGAGUAAUGCCUAGGAAUCUGCCUGGUAGUGGGGGAUAACGUUCGGAAACGGACGCUAAUACCGCAUACGUCCUACGGGAGAAAGCAGGGGACCUUCGGGCCUUGCGCUAUCAGAUGAGCCUAGGUCGGAUUAGCUAGUUGGUGAGGUAAUGGCUCACCAAGGCUACGAUCCGUAACUGGUCUGAGAGGAUGAUCAGUCACACUGGAACUGAGACACGGUCCAGACUCCUACGGGAGGCAGCAGUGGGGAAUAUUGGACAAUGGGCGAAAGCCUGAUCCAGAAGUGCCGCGUGUGUGAAGAAGGUCUUCGGAUGUAAAUUAAAAGAAAGUUGGGAGGAAGGGCAGUUACCUAAUACGUGAUGUUUUGACGUACCGACAGA